GGUUGCACAAGAUGCCCAAUCCAUCUUCAAGUGAUUCAGGAUAUCUGGAUUUGUGGGUUUCCAUCUGUGAUUUCUCUAAAAGGAAACUGCCACUAUUGAUGCAUUUGAAAGUUUUCAGGAGGAUGCACAAUGGCUGCAUUACAACAAAGUCCAGGAUGGAAAAAGGAAGCUUUCCAACAUUUCAGAGUGGAAAUUAUAAAAUUAGAAAGCUUC